rnacentral:rRNA from 1 species
AUACGGAGGGUGCAAGCGUUGUUCGGAAUUACGGGGCGUAAAGCGCGCGUAGGCGGUCUGUUAUGUCAGAUGUGAAAGUCCUCGGCUCAACCGGGGAAGUGCAUUUGAAACUGGCAGACUUGAGUACUGGAGGGGGUGGUGGAAUUCCCGGUGUAGAGGUGAAAUUCGUAGAUAUCGGGAGGAAUACCGGUGGCGAAGGCGACCACCUGGCCAGAUACUGACGCUGAGGUGCGAAAGCGUGGGGAGCAAACAGGAUUAGAAACCCUAGUUGUCC